UUAACAUGUUAUAUCACACAUAUUUAUGGUGUCAAGAUACUCUUAAUUUAGGCAAAAGAUUAGUCUAAAGAUGGGCAUAUUCUAAUAUUACAUAAUUUUAGAAAUAGAACCUUUAAAAUCAUGUUUAAAAGUUAAAGGAAUCCUCCCCAUCUCAGGUACUUUAUAUUGCAUCAUCAAUGAGGAAAUAAUUCUUGUCCUGAUGGUGUGAAGUUGGAGUGAUCAUUGGGUGUUAGAGGUCAUGUGGUUGCACUGCCAAUGAAUGAACAGAUAUCUCUUUCCUUGCAAGGGGUGCCAGGAUCUACAGCAAGGAAGAUUUACCUGCAACAAAAGUGUGUGAUGACCCCCAAGAGAUGGGAAGGUGUGCUCCAAUUGUUUCUGGGAGAUGAUGGAGGAGGAUGGCCUCAAACUCCUUGCCAGAGGAACUCAUUUAGAUGGCACCAACCUUGACUUUCAGAUGGAGCAAUACAUCUACAAAAGGAAAAGUGAUGAUAUCUACAUCGUAAGUCUGAAGAGGACAUAGGAGAAGCUUUUGCUUUCAGACUCCAACUAUUGUUGCCAUUGAGAACCCUGCUGAUGUCAGCAUCAUCUCCUCUCUUAUCCAUGGGAACGUUAAGAGUUUCCCCAUUUUUUCAUGAUGCUGGCUUUAGGUCUGUUGGACAUAGCAUUUAUUAUGGUGAGGUUUUCUCAACAUGAAAUUUUCAUGACUCUUAUGAAUAAGUGAUUUGAGAUUUUGGCAGAAGCAAAUGGAAAAAUAGAUAAAAUUUAUUGAUUUAAAUGUGUGAGCCAUCUCAUAAUCUCUGGAAUGAAGUCAGUUUAGCUGUGAUAAGUGAUCAUUUUGAAGCACUCUUGAAUUCUUCCUGAUGCUAUUUUAUUGACAGUGUUGGCUUUUAUAUUCAUCAAAGAGACUGGUUUGUAAUUUUUUUCCUUUUUGUUGUUGUGAUCUUAGUUGAUUUUGAUAUCAGGGUAAAACUGACCAUAAAAUACUUGAAAAAAAUAUUAAUUCCUUUUAUAUUUCAUGGAAUAACUUAAGUCAUAUCAGGAUUUGUUCUUGGAAGUUCUGAUAAAAUUAUGCCUGUGAAUCUAUCUGUUCCUGGGUUUAUAUCUUUUUAAUUUUUUAUUAUUUUUAAUUACUCAUAUAUACAUAUCCAUCCCCCAUUCCCUCACCCACCCUCCUCCCAUGUUC
rnacentral:lncRNA from 1 species